GUGAGCCCAGCUUCGCCACUAUCAUUAGAGGAAAGUGACGACCGGUGAUGGCGCUUCUGCCGCGAUGUGACGUCUCGAAAGCCUACGCAUCGUGGGUUACCUCGCGUUGUCGCUUGCAUGUCCAGUGUAUAUAUAGAGCCAUCUCCGUUUGCAUCGUACAAAACAGCUCUUUGGCUCGUUGCACAGUGAAGCUUUACUCUUCAGGGCAGAAGCAGACGGAUAAUCAUGAAGGCUGUGCUGUGCUUGCUGGUGAUUUGCCUGAUACUGGCCACUGCUGUCGCAAUUAAGGGCUUCGGCCACAAAGGCGGCUUUGGCGGCGGAUAUGGCCACGGAGGAGGAGGAUUCGGACACGGAGGAGGAGGAUAUGGCCAUGGAGGUGGUUACGGCGGUCAUGGUGGCAAGUUUGGCAAGUUCCAUGGAUAGUCACCAACAGCUCAUCAUGCACUCAACACAAUUUCUUCCAACAUGCGGCGACCAGAGCGCCCGAACAGCCGGCAAACGAAGAAGAGUACAAAACGCGCAAUAUAUUUCGGAAUAAAAUUUCCUUGCCCUUCUC